rnacentral:tRNA from 1 species
GGGCGGCUAGCUCAGUUUGGUUAGAGCACUAGCUCGACAAGCUAGGGGUCACAAGUUCAAGUCUUGUGUCGCCCA